UACGGGGGGGGGCAAGCGUUGUUCGGAAUUACUGGGCGUAAAGGGCUCGUAGGUGGCCAACUAAGUCAGACGUGAAAUCCCUCGGCUUAACCGGGGAACUGCGUCUGAUACUGGUUGGCUUGAAUCCGGGAGAGGGAUGUGGAAUUCCAGGUGUAGCGGUGAAAUGCGUAGAUAUCUGGAGGAACACCGGUGGCGAAGGCGGCAUCCUGGACCGGUAUUGACGCUGAGGAGCGAAAGCCAGGGGAGCAAACGGG
rnacentral:rRNA from 1 species